GAUAUCAACUGAAAAAGUCAUCAACAACAAAGUUAGAAUAACUCAUCAAGAUCUAAAACUUUUAUUUUGGUCAUUUCUUCAUACGACAAAGUGAUAGUAACAUUGUUCACAAAAUUGACAUAUCUCUUAUCUGGUUUUAUAAACUAUAACACAUAUAUGUAAAUUUUGUGAAUAAUAUUACUAACAUUUCGUCGGAUGAAGAAAUAACAAAAAUAAAAGUUUUAGAUCUUGAUGAGUUAUUCAACUUUGUUGUUGAUGACUUUUUCAAUUGAAAUC
rfam:Oryza sativa Indica Group scaffold000496 genomic scaffold, whole genome shotgun sequence.